rnacentral:rRNA from 1 species
UACGUAGGGUGCGAGCGUUGUCCGGAAUUAUUGGGCGUAAAGAGCUCGUAGGCGGUGUGUCACGUCGGCCGUGAAAACCUGCAGCUUAACUGCGGGCUUGCGGUCGAUACGGGCGGGCUGGAGUUCGGUAGGGGAGACUGGAAUUCCUGGUGUAGCGGUGAAAUGCGCAGAUAUCAGGAGGAACACCGGUGGCGAAGGCGGGUCUCUGGGCCGAUACUGACGCUGAGGAGCGAAAGCGUGGGGAGCGAACAGG